rnacentral:lncRNA from 1 species
GGCUGUGAAGGUGUGCUGCAGCCUGCCAUUUCUCUUGGCAAUAACUUGGAAGAAAGAAGAGAAGCUUUUUGGAAAAAAAUCUCUGCUAAGCAGAGCGUGGUGGAGGUGGGAGGAAGAAGGUCUGCCUGGGAGCUGGCAACCCCACACCUCAAAUCACCACUGGGAAAACAGCCCAUGGAAAUGCAUCCUCCUCCCACUUCAAGUCUUACCUGUAUUUGGCAGUGGGAUUUAAGGACCCCUUUAGGUACUGGAAUGCUGCUGUAAGGUCUCCCUGGAGCCUUCUCCCAGCUCUCAGUCUGUCUCUGGAAAGGCGCUCCAACCUUCUGAUCAUCUUUGUGUCCCUCCUUUGGAUCUACUCUAACAGAUCUGUGUCUUUCCUGUGUUUCCCCAGAGCUGA